UUAACACAUGCAAGUCGCACGAGAACGCUUCAGCUUGCUGAAGCUAGUAAAGUGGCGCACGGGUGAGUAUCGCGUGGGUAAUCUACCUCUGAAUUGGGGAUAACAUUGCGAAAGCGAUGCUAAUACCGAAUAACAUCUUAAAUACUUCGGUAAUUAAGAUCAAAGGUGGCCUCUACAUGUAAGCUACUGUUUGGAGAUGAGCCCGCGUACCAUUAGCUUGUUGGUAGGGUAACGGCCUACCAAAGCGACGAUGGUUAGCUGGUCUGAGAGGAUGAUCAGCCACACUGGAACUGACACACGGUCCAGACUCCGUACGGGAGGCAGCAGUGAGGUAAUUUUGCGCAAGUGGGGAAACCCUGACGCAGCAACGCCGCGUGAGUGAUGAAGGCUUUCGGGUCGUAAAGCUCUGUCAAGCGGGAAGAAACUGCCCCGUGCUAAUAUCACGGGACACUGACGGUACCGCUGAAGGAAGCACCGGCUAACUCCGUG
rnacentral:rRNA from 1 species